AUUGAACGCUGGCGGCAGGCCUAACACAUGCAAGUCGAGCGGCAGCGGGAAAGUAGCUUGCUACUUUUGCCGGCGAGUGGCGGACGGGUGAGUAAUGCCUGGGGAUCUGCCCAGGCGAGGGGGAUAACUAAUGGAAAAGGUAGCUAAUACCGCAUACGCCCUACGGGGGAAAGGAGGGGUCGUUCGGGCCUUGCGCGAUUGGAUGAACCCAGGUGGGGAUAGCUGGUUGGUGAGGGAAUGGCUCACCAAGGCGACGAUCCCUAGCUGGUGUGAGAGGAUGAUCAGCCACACUGGGACUGAGACACGGGCCAGACUCCUACGGGAGGCAGCAGUGGGGAAUAUUGCACAAGUGGGGAAACCCUGAUGCAGCCAUGCCGCGUGUGUGAAGAAGGCCUUCGGGUUGUAAAGCACUUUCAGCGAGGAGGAAAGGUUGGUCGUUAAUAACUGCCAGCUGUGACGUUACUCGCAGAAGAAGCACCGGCUAACUCCGUGCCAGCCGCCGCAGUAACAC
rnacentral:rRNA from 1 species